GCCAUUGCUGUCACCUGUCAUGCGCUCAUCGCAACAACACAACAAACAUAUGAUUCCACGAGUCUCGUUCUUAUACAGCCUCUCGCCCUUCAGAAAGUAAGCAGAGUAACCGCUUUGGUUUCUUUUCUUUUAUUUUAUUUUAUUUUCAAUUUUUGGGUUUUGAUGAAAUGACGAAUUUGGCCUUUGGAUUUUUAGAGGAGUUGGUGGGGUCCUGGCUACGGUGAUCGAGGCGUGGUAGGAACGGUAAUUAUUCGCAGCGCGUGGGGUUAGCAAGUGUGGCGGGUUAGAUGUUAGCGUGUGAGCCUGCGAGUUUAAGACUCGAAGUAAGUGCCUUGUAUGGUUUAGUGAUGCUUCUGAGCAAAGACAUCAACCAAAUUUAUUUUAUUUAUUUAUUCUAUUUUAACAGACGUUCAAAACUUACAUAUAUUAAC
rnacentral:lncRNA from 1 species